CCUGCCCUGUCCACAGCUCCCAGCUCACACUUCCCCCAGAGGCGGAGGUGAACCCAGACGCGAGUUGCUGCUCUCGCCAGCGCUCUUCUCUCGGCAGCUGCUCUGCAGCAAAGAGGCGAAGGCAAAGGCAGGCAGUGCGAUAGUGCUGGGUCUGUUUGGAGACGUGCAGGAGCUUGGAGGAGUGCAGGAGCUUGGUGAUCACGAGCCCGACGCUCUUCAUCUAAGCCCACAAAGGGCCAACUGUUGGCAAAAUGCCUCAGAAGAGGAUCUUUUUGUCCCCAGGUUUUUUGCCCAAGGAUGAGGUGCCGGAAUUUCUACUGGCGGAUCUCGCUGAACAACAAGAGGCUCAAGAACGCCAGUUCCUUCGAGGCCACUUUCCACCCCUGCGGACGAGUGACCUCGACCUGCUGGCAGAAGAGGAGACUGCAGAGGUGUCUGUAAGUGUGCUGCCGCCUAUGGGAAAGAGCUGGGCACAGAGUCGCCUGGAGAUCGAGCGGGAGGGAGUGGUCAGGCUCCCUCCCCUGCGCGCACGGCUGGGAAGAUCACUGGCCAGGCAGCAGUUCAGAGCACCCCAAGUCCAGCAGCGCUUCCCCCCACUGAAGAACACCCCCCAGGAGGGGGAGAAAGCGCAGCCAGGAAAAAUCUCCAGCAAGGAGACAAGCAAAGAGAUUGCUUCCCGCCUUCCUCGAGCAGAGAAUGGAAGGACAGUGGCCCCACCAGCAGAGAUGGCAGUGCCCACUGUCCAGUCACUACGGGCAAGACAGGUCCUGGGAACCUUGGAGUCCUACAAGGUGUGCCGGGAAGGAUGGAGGAAGAAGGUGGAGGAAAACAGGCUCCUUCCUGCCAGACCCAAGGAGCGCCUCUGCUUUGUGAAGAAGAUGGAGCUCCAGGAGGCCAGAGGAAAACACAAGAACAUGUGAGAGCACACCACGGGCUCACAGUUCAGCCAAUUCCUACCGCGCCCACUCACACCGUGGCAAUAAACAACGAAGCCCCAGGAUUGACAGCAGUGGGGCUGAGAGGAGGCACACUGAUACAGGAGCUGCCUCCCUUGUUACCACCAUUGUCUCUGCUGUAACAGCAAAGCAGAGCCAUUCUUAGUACAAGAAGUGCCAAAUAAACAUCCUUGGAACUUCUUUGAAGCUGGGGAGUCAUCUUUCUUUGUCUUACGGCGUGUUCUCCUGCAGGGCGUUGGAAAGGGCGGUCUGCUAGGUCCUGUGAGGAUAGUACUAAACUAGGAGGAACUGCUGACUCCCUGGAGGGAAGCUUGGCCUCGG
ensembl:lncRNA